CUGGGAAGCUCAUUAUAAAUCAAUAAAUAAGACAUCCACUUCAGACUUCAUCCAGUGCUUUGGGGCUUAAAGUUCUUCUCAAAAGUAUUCAGGUUUCUAUAUUUUUACACACCAAUUCUGAGAAUGGAUGCCUUGAAACUGCAAGGCUCAUGUUUUAAUUUUUGUUUGGUGAUUUUUUUUUUCAGCAUAGCAAAUGCAUCAAUGUACUUAUAGUCUGAAUCCGUUUGCAUAUCACACUGUGCAUCAAGGACAAUAAAAAGGGGACUUGAAUAGAUUUAUUUUUUCUACGUAUUCAAGUAUCUGCAGGAUCUGGAAUCUGCCUCCUGAAAUUGUAUAUCUUACCUCCACUUUAACCCUCGAAAACAGAAUUACUCGUGCUUAUAAAUCUAACAACAAGGAGUUGAGUUCAUCUCCUCCACACUUCAAGUUGAACAUGUUUUGUGCCUGUUUAUACUUUAAGAGGUUUCUUGCCGGAAGAAAUGUUGAUGUAAAAACUUGGGGGUGUCUUGAAGGACAUAAAGCAGGGACUUGUAAUUUAGAGCUCAGACUACAAAUGACAUCACUAUGUUUUUCUGAAUCAAAGAGCAGAUCUAGAGUGAGUGACCUUGGUAAAGAUAUUUUUUUCCCAUCCGGAGAUGCAGAUCUACGUGAUAAAGAAACUUAAUUUGAGGUUGCCCCAAGGAAGGGGGCAGAAGCUGGAACUACUACCAAGGUUCCUUGUGGCAUUUCCUUCCCAUGGAUCUACAGUGACUCCCACUAUCACCAGGGUGCCCAGCUCCACGUCUGUCCUUCAUGGGGACAGCAACCUCUCUCCACUGUCUACUCCAACCAGGCUCUCCCAACCCAAACAUUCCCGCUCACACCAUCAUCUCCUUAUUCCCCAGCCUGCUCUCCUCCCCUUGGAUACAUCAAUGACACCCCUGUCCUCAAAGGUCAGGUUCUAGAUUCUGUCAUGAUAAUAACAUACUGCAUAAAGCUUUGUACCACAAGCUCAGAUAUGGAUUACUACAUGGGAACAAGGGGCAUUGUCUUCACUGAUGGUUUCAGAUCACAUCAGUCAUUCUCCAUGUUUUAUCUUCUGGAUCGUUGCUCCUCAACUCACAUCUAUAGAAUCAAGCCUGAGGAUGGAAGACCAUGGUAUAUUCCGAGGAGAAACUGAGGAGCUAGGAGAAUCUCAGGUGGGAUUCUGAGAGUUACUCUUUGUUUAUUU
rnacentral:lncRNA from 1 species